rnacentral:lncRNA from 1 species
UGACCGAAAACAUAUCCGAGAAGCGACGGCGAGCAUAUAUAUGUCCGUGAAAGAGAAUGUCAUUCACUUUAGCAGGAAAGGCCGAGCCACACACGAGAUCACGAAAUGCAUCUGCUAUCUCUUGCUUUAAAGUUAUGGCUUUGGGGUAUUUCAGGCAUCGUAAGCUUGGGAAAAUCUGAGGCCAACAGCUGAUUGCCUGCUGGAGCUGAAGGUCGGAGUUUGCAGAGCCGCAUAUCCGAGGUGGUUUUUCAAUCGCACCGCAAAAACAUGCCAGAGUUUUAUAUAUGGCGGAUGUCAUGGCAACGAAAACAACUUUAUGAGUGAAAAAGAAUGCCAGCAACAGUGCCUAGGCAAUGUAAUUCUGGAGAAACCUUCACCAAAAGAUGUUUGCUUCCUCGAAGAAGCUGUGGGAAGGUGCAGAGCGGCAUUCCAACGGUGGCACUUUAAUAUGAAACGGGGAAGUGCGAAAUUUUGUUUACUGGAGGUUGCCACGGCAACAAGAACAAUUUCCUGACCAAAAUUGAAUGUGAAGAAUUUUGCCAUGAGUACAUAAAAGAUCCCUGUGCACAGCCGAUUAUCCCGGCUUCGAAGAAGAAGUGCGACCACGAGAAGACAGAAGAGAGAUUUGGUUACAACAAAGCCACCCAAAAAUGUGAAAGUUUUUGUUCAUUC